UACGUAGGGUGCAAGCGUUAAUCGGAAUUACUGGGCGUAAAGCGUGCGCAGGCGGUUUUGUAAGUCUGUCGUGAAAUCCCCGGGCUUAACCUGGGAAUUGCGAUGGAGACUGCAAGGCUAGAAUCUGGCAGAGGGGGGUAGAAUUCCACGUGUAGCAGUGAAAUGCGUAAAGAUGUGGAGGAACACCGAUGGCGAAGGCAGCCCCCUGGGUCAAGAUUGACGCUCAUGCACGAAAGCGUGGGGAGCAAACGAGGAUUAGAGUACCCGAGAUACGUCC
rnacentral:rRNA from 1 species